GAUAAACGCUGGCGGCGUGCGUAAAACAUGCAAGUCGGACGGGCAUCUUCGGAUGCCAGUGGCGGACGGCUGAGUAACACGUAAGUGACCUACCCUGUAGUGGGGAAUAACUGCUCGAAAGAGUGGCUAAUACCGCAUGAGCUCCUGGUUUCGGUAUCAGGAGGAAAGUCGCAAGACGCUAGAGGAUGGGCUUGCGGCCGAUUAGCUAGUUGGAGGGGUAAAGGCCCACCAAGGCGAUGAUCGGUAGCUGGUCUGAGAGGAUGAUCAGCCAGACUGGGACUGCGACACGGCCCAGACUCCUACGGGAGGCAGCAGUUAGGAAUUUUGCGCAAUGGCCGAAAGGCUGACGCAGCAACGCCGCGUGAGGGAUGAAGGUCUUCGGAUCGUAAACCUCUUUUGCACGGGAAGAUGGUGACGGUACCGUGCGAAUAAGCCCCGGCUAACUACGUGCCAGCAGCCGCUGUAA
rnacentral:rRNA from 1 species